rnacentral:hammerhead_ribozyme from 1 species
AUCCAGCUGACGAGUCCUAAAUGGGACGAAAUCCACGUCCUGGAU